GACGAACCGUGCGAACGUUGUUCGGAAUCACUGGGCUUAAAGGGCGCGUAGGCGGGUCGGCAAGUCGGAGGUGAAAGCCCGCAGCUCAACCGCGGAAGUGCCCCAGAUACUGCCGGGCUCGCGGGAGGGAGGGGCGUGCGGAACUUCCAGUGGAGCGGUGAAAUGCGUAGAUAUCGGGAGGAACACCGGGGGCGAAGGCGGCUCUCUGGACCUGUACUGACGCUGAGGCGCGAAAGCUAGGGGAGCAAACGGG
rnacentral:rRNA from 1 species